UAAGGGUUGCAGGAAAGGGGUCUUGAUCCAGACCACAAGAGAGGGUUCUUGGAUCUUGCACAGAAAAGAAUUCAGCGCAAGUCCAUAAAGUGAAAGCAAG